rnacentral:sRNA from 1 species
AUGUUUCUUUUAUUUAGUUUUCCUAUUUAUUUAAGAAAAAAGUAAAUAUUUUUUGUCAUGUCAACAUCUGAACGAUAGACUUGAUACGUGUCACGAUCACGCGAGUUAGUAACUUUGAAAACCAUACUUUAUAUAAUAAGAUUAUAGGAAAUAUACUCUAUUCUACAAAAAGUCAUUCAUGAACCAAUUUGCUUACAUGAGAGAAAAGGCAAUUACGAUUUCGAGAGUUCUUAGCUAAACAAUCUGCUCGAGUAUUAAAACUACGAGCUAAUGCUGAAAGAAGAGAAAAAACAAACUAAAUACCAAAAAGAGGCCAAUUCCGUUGCAAAAGUUGGUCAAUCGUCUUGGUGAUCAACGAGAGAGAUCAAAUCUGCGCAAUCGGUAGCAAAGGUAUCUGUAUCGCCAAUGCUGAUCAUGCAUUCCAUUGCCCCUAGC